rfam:Gossypium raimondii Chr01_contig_839, whole genome shotgun sequence.
AUCCCAUGAUGAGGGCAUUUACGAAGUAAUUCUUUGAAUUUCUCCCGUGCCUCGUACAAAAAAUCAUCAUCCAAUUGUUGAAAAGUCUUUAUCUCAUUUCGCAACUU